AUAAUCAGGGCAGAUGAGUUCCAGGAAGAAGCUGUGUGGAAGGCAGCACUGAUGGGUCAUCCUAGCACAGACAUCACCUCAUCCCAUGAAAUGUUACUUGCAUCAGUUCAGCAUACAGCACUGUACAAGAAGACCAGCUGAGUGGGGUGGUCACCUCAGCUAUGGCCACAAGGAAUUCUGAAAAGAAAAGAUAUGAUGAGUUCAUACAUUUAAGGAGUUACAGCAGCCUGUCCUCUGCUCAAGUACCUUCUGCAGGGCAAGUGGCAGGGAGAAGACUACAAAGACCUAGGAGAAGAAGGUAAAUGAGAACAAGCCAGCCUUAAAAACUGACUUCCAUACCAAGUUAAAACUGAAUGAUAAUACAGAUAAUGAUGAAUAUCCAAGAAGUCAGAGAAAACCCACAAAAUUAUGUGCAUAAAUUAUCAUUCUUUGAAUUCAACA